rnacentral:ncRNA from 2 species
UAGUUACCCCGGGGGUGCCCUUAGGGGCUGAGAAGUGCCGCAGCACUAACCCUUGGAACCUGAUCUGGGUCAUACCAGCGUAGGGAAGUGGGGACCGAAGUUG